GACGAACGCUGGCGGCGUGCUUAACACAUGCAAGUCGAACGGAAAGGCCCUGCUUUUGUGGGGUGCUCGAGUGGCGAACGGGUGAGUAACACGUGAGUAACCUGCCCUUGACUUUGGGAUAACUUCAGGAAACUGGGGCUAAUACCGGAUAGGAGCUCCUGCUGCAUGGUGGGGGUUGGAAAGUUUCGGCGGUUGGGGAUGGACUCGCGGCUUAUCAGCUUGUUGGUGGGGUAGUGGCUUACCAAGGCUUUGACGGGUAGCCGGCCUGAGAGGGUGACCGGCCACAUUGGGACUGAGAUACGGCCCAGACUCCUACGGGAGGCAGCAGUGGGAAAUAUUGCACAAUGGGCGGAAGCCUGAUGCAGCAACGCCGCGUGCGGGAUGACGGCCUUCGGGUUGUAAACCGCUUUCGCCUGUGACGAAGCGUGAGCGACGGUAAUGGGUAAAGAAGCACCGGCUAACUACGUG
rnacentral:rRNA from 1 species